rnacentral:rRNA from 1 species
AACGCGAAGAACCUUACCAGGGCUUGACAUCCCGCUAACGAAGUAGAGAUACGUUAGGUGCCCUUCGGGGAAAGCGGAGACAGGUGGUGCAUGGUUGUCGUCAGCUCGUGUCGUGAGAUGUUGGGUUAAGUCCCGCAACGAGCGCAACCCCUAUUGUUAGUUGCUACGCAAGAGCACUCUAGCGAGACUGCCGUUGACAAAACGGAGGAAGGUGGGGACGACGUCAAAUCAUCAUGCCCCUUAUGUCCUGGGCUACACACGUGCUACAAUGGUCGGUACAAUGAGAAGCAAAGCAGCGAUGUGGAGCAAACCACCAAAACCGAUCCCAGUUCGGAUUGCAGGCUGCAACUCGCCUGCAUGAAGUCGGAGUUGCUAGUAAUCGCGGAUCAGCAUGCCGCGGUGAAUGCGUUCCC